rnacentral:rRNA from 1 species
AUUGAACGCUGGCGGCAUGCCUUACACAUGCAAGUCGAACGGUAACGGGCCUUCGGGUGCCGACGAGUGGCGAACGGGUGAGUAAUGUAUCGGAACGAACCUUUCAGUGGGGGAUAACGUAGUGAAAGUUACGCUAAUACCGCAUACUCUGUGAGCAGGAACGCAGGGGAUCGCAAGACCUUGCGCUGAUUGAGCGGCUGGUAUCAGAUUAGCUAGUUGGUGGGGUAAAGGCUCACCAAGGCGACGAUCUGUAGCGGGUCUGAGAGGAUGAUCCGCCACACUGGAACUGAGACACGGUCCAGACUCCUACGGGAGGCAGCAGUGGGGAAUUUUGGACAAUGGGGGCAACCCUGAGCCAGCCAUGCCGCGUGAGUGAAGAAGGCCUUCGGGUUGUAAAGCUCUUUCGGCCGGGAAGAAAUCGUAUGGGUUAAUACCCUGUGCGGAUGACGGUACCGGCAUAAGAAGCACCGGCUAACUACGUGCCAGCAGCCGCCGUAACAC